rnacentral:rRNA from 1 species
UGGGAAUAUUGGAUAAUGGGGGCAACCCUGAUCCAGCCAUGCCGCGUGAGUGAUGAAAGGCCCUUAGGGUUGUAAAAGCUCUUUUCGCCCGGGACGAUAAUGACGGUACCGGGAGAAGAAGCCCCGGCUAACUUCGUGCCAGCAGCCGCGGUAAUACGAAGGGGGGCUAGCGUUGUUCGGAAUCACUGGGCGUAAAGCGCACGUAGGCGGACCGUUAAGUCGGAGGUGAAAUCCUGGGGCUCAACCCCAGAACUGCCUUCGAUACUGGCGGUCUCGAGUCCGGAAGAGGUGAGUGGAACUGCCAGUGUAGAGGUGAAAAUUCGUAGAUAUUGGCAAGAACACCAGUGGCGAAGGCGGCUCACUGGUCCGGUACUGACGCUGAGGUGCGAAAGCGUGGGGAGCAAACAGGAUUAGAUGCCCUGGUAGUCCACGCCGUAAACGAUGAAUGCCAGCCGUCGGGCAGCAUGCUGUUCGGUGGCGCAGCUAACGCUUUAAGCAUUCCGCCUGGGGAGUACGGUCGCAAGAUUAAAACUCAAAGGAAUUGACGGGGUCAUAGCUGUUUCCU